rnacentral:rRNA from 1 species
UACGAAGGGGGCUAGCGUUGCUCGGAAUCACUGGGCGUAAAGCGCACGUAGGCGGCUUUUUAAGUCAGGGGUGAAAUCCUGGAGCUCAACUCCAGAACUGCCUUUGAUACUGGGAAGCUCGAGUCCGGGAGAGGUGAGUGGAACUCCGAGUGUAGAGGUGAAAUUCGUAGAUAUUCGCAAGAACACCAGUGGCGAAGGCGGCUCACUGGCCCGGUACUGACGCUGAGGUGCGAAAGCGUGGGGAGCAAACAGG